GCAGCAGUGAGUGCCACACGCUGUCAUGGUCAGAAUGGCACAUGGGUGAUGCUCACGGAGACGCAGCAUGCCAUAGCCACUAACAGCUGGAAUGGUCCUCAAGAUGUCUCAUACCGCCUCAUCAUCAUAGAACACAAGCCAUGACUGCUCCCAUCACAGACCUGAGAGGCACCCAGCAAUACUCACCUGACUUCUGGACAGACUUGACCUGAGGUUGUUGAGAGAGGCACAGCAGAGAACUUCUCCUGACAUUCCAGCUGGCUUUGGCCCCUCCCCCGACUCAUGCUGAUUCAGUGGAGGCCUGGAUGUUUCUGCUGGAUCAAGCUGCUGCUGCUGAUCCAUAUUUGGUAACAUUUCUUAAACUGGAUUGUUGGUAUCUUGACAGCACUGAACUGGAUGGCUGGUAUCCUG